AGGCUCUUCUGUGUUGAGCGGAGGAGCAGCUCUGUGCCCAGCUUAGAGGACUGGAAGAGGCCGCAACCUUCCGCCUGCUGGAGGGUGGAGGAUGGAUGGAGCUUGGAGCCUGGAGCCUGGUUCACUACCUCGGUGCGGUUGGUGGUGGCGAUAGAGCAGCAGGAGAGCGGUCGGCAGCAGAAGCUUCUCCUGCCAGGCUGGAGGACUAGAAGGAAGAGGCACUGCCACAUGCUGGAGACUGGAACCUGUGCCACCAUGGCUCGCCUCGCUGUGGUUGGUGGUGACGUCAGAGACUGCAGCUCAGCCACAGUGGUAGAAAAGUGAUGGGAUGGUUUCCUAGAAACAUGAUGGUUUACUGGCGUUGAUCUCACAGUCUGGUGAGAACUUCUUUACUCAUAAUGUCAAGUUCAGUUUAUCUUCCCAACCAAGGAGCAUUCAGCACAGAACAAAGUCGUUCUCCUCCUCACUCUGUAAAGUAUACGUUUCCCAGCACCCACCACCAGCAGGGAGCUCAACCUCACAAGACAGACCAUCAUGUAGAGACAACUGCUACACAACAUGGGAAGAACUGCUAGAGAUGUAAAGAUGUAAAGACCCAAAAUGAAGAAGCCAGAACACAUGAACACGAAACCAGCCAACCAACAAACACAAGCAGAUGGUGCAUAGAGUCUGGGGACCAACUGCACGGUGCUGAGGAAUGCAGGUGGAGGCAGAGUGGAAAUCACCUGAGUUUCCAUCAG